AAAAGUUACGAAGGGCGUAUGGGGGAUGCCUUGGCUUCCGGGAGCGAAGAAGGACGUGGUAAGCUGCGAAAAUCGCCGGGGAUUAGCAAACAUGAGUUGAUCCGGCGGACUCCGAAUGGGACAACCCACCAGGCUGAAGGCCUGGUACCAUCGCAAGAUGGGGCAGACGCAGGGAACUGAAACAUCUUAGUACCUGCAGGAAAAGAAAGAAAGAUCGAUUCUCUGAGUAGUGGCGAUCGAAAGGAGAAGAGCCUAAACCGCCGUUGUUUUGGCAAGGGCGGGGUUGCAGGACCCUAUUAGUGAUGUUAUAAAAGAAGUGGAAGUUGUCUGGAAAGGCACACCGCAGGGCGUGAACGUCGCGUACAUGCAAUUGAAUAACAACACAAGGGAAUCCUAAGUAGGGCGGGACACGAGGAAUCCUGUCUGAAUCCACGGGGACCAUCCCGUAAGGCUAAAUAUUACCGGAAGACCGAUAGUGAACCAGUACUGUGAAGGAAAGGUGAAAAGUACCCCGGACAGGGGGGUGAAAAAGAACCUGAAACCGUACGCCUACAAGCGGUCGGAGCGGGCAAGAGUCCGUAACGGCGUGCCUUUUGCAUAAUGAGCCUACGAGUUACUGUUGCUAGCCAGGUUAAGUACUUCAGGUACGGAGCCG
rnacentral:rRNA from 1 species